UAUUAAAAAUUUCAUCCAUUUCUAUUAUUACAAACUGAUGUUACUGACGGAAUAACCAGAUAGUGACAUGUGGCAUUCCACAUGUACCUCAUGUGGAUGUACAAGAACAAAUUUUUAAUAGUAAAAAAUUGAUGAAUUUUUUUAACA
rfam:Gossypium hirsutum cultivar TM-1 chromosome 17, whole genome shotgun sequence